ACCGGCAGCUCAAGUGGUGGCCAUUAUUAUUGGGCCUAAAGCGUUCGUAGCCGGUUUGAUAAGUCUCUGGUGAAAUCCCGCAGCUUAACUGUGGGACUUGCUGGAGAUACUAUCAGACUUGAGGUCGGGAGAGGUUAGGGGUACUCCCAGGGGCGGGGUGAAAGCCGAUAAGCCGGGGAGGACGACAGGUGGCGGGGGGGCCGAACGGGAACGAGCCUGAGGGUGAGUAAUUAUAGCCAGGGGCGCGAUCCU
rnacentral:rRNA from 1 species